AUAAAAAGCAAAGCUUGUAGCUGUAAUUAAGGUAUUGACUGUUUUUGAUAUGCCUAUUAAUGUGAUUUCUGAUUCUUCAUACGUGGUUCAUUCCACACAGUUAAUUGAAAAUGCUCAGUUACAAUUUCAUACAGAUGAACAAUUGAUAAUAAAAACAAAAAAGGGGGAGAAACAGGGAUUUGGGACAGCCCAUACACAAUUGAAUCUAGCAUUAUUAACUUUAAAUUUUUUGAGCCUGCCCAAAGGCCAGAUGUUAUCAGUAGCUGAAUAGCAUCUACAGAAACCAGCUGCAAAGCCAGAAGCAGAACAACUGAUUUGGUGGUGAGAUCCAAUAACAAAAAAUUGGGAAAUAGGUAAAAUAAUAACUUGGGGUAGAGGUUAUGCUUAUGUCUCUCCAGGCCAAAAUCAACAGCCGAUUUGGAUACCAUCAAGACACCUGAAACCUUAUCAUGAGCCAGAUGCCAAGGAAGAGAUUCCAGGAGGAUCCCAAGGACCCCCUGUUGCAGCCGUGUUGAGGCUGAUGCUCAGGAGGACCCCAACUGUCACAAGCAACACCUGUUGAACACAACCACCCACCGGAGGACAGAUCAAGAAGCUGUCACAGAUGGCAGAAGAAAACCUAAGGAAAGCGAGACAGCCAGUCACAAUGAGUAAUUUAAUAGUAGCUACGAUAGUGAUGAUCACCAUUGCCGUGAGUAUUCCUUCAACAAGGGCUGACACAGAGAACAAUUAUACUUAUUGGGCAUAUUUAUCAAUCUUGGCUGGCAAUAAUGCCUGGAUGUAAUCACUCUAUGACACAGUUACACAUGCUUUCUGAUCUCAGUAUUUACCAUAAUAAAUCUGUUCCUAUAAUUGAGGCAUACAGCCCUCAAAAACCUAUUUGUAAACAAAAUUGAACCUGGCCAGAAAAUGAACGUACUUGUUUAGGAAGAUUGCAUUGCAGAACAGGCAGAGGUGCUGCACAACGAUUCCUAUGGAAUCAUUAUUAAUUGGUCCCCUAAGGGGAUAUUUAGCUUGAAUUGCACCUCUGAGUCUGCAUGCCAUGGCCACACUAUGUUCAGAUGGUCUGAACAAAACGGUCAGAUGGUAGAAAUGAUAAAAAGUAUGACAAGAGUUCCUAUUAUCUGGAACCAUGGCAGUAUAGUGGCACCUCAACCUCAAAUGAUAUGGCUUGUUGUAGGAGCUAACAUAAGAUUUUGUGGAAACUAUUAAUAGCUUUUAAUAAGAUCAAAAUUUGGGAAAGAAUAGAAAAGCAUCUAGAAGGUCUGCAGAUGCGGAUCCUGACUCCUAUGAGAAGUAGCUCACCGUGACAAAGGUGCCUUUGCUUUUAUCAAUUUGCAAAUCAAAAAAGGGGGACAUGUUGGGAACAGCCCCCCCACCCCAAAAAAAAACAUGGCCAUAAACUGGCCCCAAAACUGGCCAUAAACAAAAUCUCUGUGGCACUGUGAUGUGUUCAUGAUGGCCAUAACGCCCACACUGGAAGGUUGUGGGUUUACCAGAAUGAGGGCAAGGAACACCUGGCCUGCCCAGGGUGGAAAACUGCUUAAAGGCGUUCUUAAACCACAAACGAUAGCAUGAGCAAUCUGUGCCUUAAGGGCAUGUUCCUGCUACAGAUAACUAGCCAGACCCACCCCUUUAUUCUGGCCCAUCCCUUCGUUUCCCAUAAGGGAUACUUUUAGUUAAUCUAAUAUCUAUAGAAACAAUGCUAAUGACUGGCUUGCUGUUAAUAAAUACGUGGGUAAAUCUCUGUUCAGGGCUUUCAGCUCUCAAGGCUGUGAGACCCCUGAUUUCCCACUUCACACCUCUGUAUUUCUGUGUGUGUGUAAUUCCUCUAAUGCUGCUGGGUUAGGGUCUCCCCAACUGAGCUGGUCUUGGCAGGUCCUCAGCAACUUCAGUCCUUCCCUCCUCGGAAGAAAGAAUUCAACUGAGGGGCAUAGAGCAGAAAAAGAGACUGAGGCAAGUUCCAGAAAAGGAAUGGAAGUUUAUUUAAGAAGUCUUAGAACAGGAAUGAAAGGAAGGUGUGCUUGGAAGAGACCCGAGCAAGCACGUGAAGGCUAAAGAGAGAAGGUCAUGUUUGACCAUGAUCCUAGGACUUUUAUAAGCUCCCUUCUUUCCCAUGAUUCCUCCCUGAGGGUGGGUUUUCCUCAUGCCCAGUGCUUUCCUUACCUUUUAGAAUUGAGCAUGUGUGGUGUGUUUAGGGAGUUAUACACAGGCCCAUCUGAGGCUUUCUUCCUUUUUCCAGUGGAGUGUGCCCCCGGAAGAUCAUACUUCACCAUGUUUUGCCUCUUAACAUGCAUGCCCAGGAAGUUGCUUCUCCCUGGGGCCUGCAUUCAAUUAACAUUUUGCUGUUAACAGGUGUGGACUACCAGGAAAUGGCCUCUCCCUGGCGCUGUGAAAUUAGCAUUCUUAGAGAGGCAAUUCAGUAAUUGCCGAACCACCACCCAACAUUUUCAGUGGAUUAAGGGGGAGCCCUAUCCUACCCCGCUCAUGCCUAACUAUCUGUAACACAUUCAAUUGGUUGGGAGACUUAUAAUUUUAUUUUUGGCUUACAAUAAUCAUGAAAUAUUUAGAUAUAUGGUUUGUGGACCCUCACUUGUACUUUUGCCCUGGGCUCUAUAAAUUUUGAGCUGGGCCUGUCUGGUUUUCAUAGAGUUAUGGGUACAAGACACUAUUUUCUUCCUAACUCUAAUGCAUGAAAAAUAAACUGGCAAAGUAAAAUGACAAACAGCAACCAGCAGCUGGCCUCAGUCAAGGAGAAAGCACGGGGAAAAUGGGAGCAUUCUAGAAAAGGAGGCAACCAAGCAUUGCAGCCAAGCUCCAAAGGGCAGUCACCACACCAGCACACAGGAUCCACUUCUUGGGACCUUGGUAAGUGGGAGGCAGUGUGUACCAGUUCCUGUAGACUAGUUCAUGCCCCUCUGUCUCCCCCUUACACAGAGCACUUGCAAAUGCUAGUUCAGGAAUCCAGAGGCCUGGCUGGAGUCUAAGCAGUGAGUAGCUUGGCAAAGAGCUGCUAUGCUGAAACUGCAGUUUUCAGUGGAAACUAAAGAUAGGAUAGACAUAAGAUAUAUUGGUAAAUAAUAAAGUCUCAUACAAUGUUAGGAGCUAUUAGGAUUGAAUUGGGUCCCUGCAAAUUCAUAUGUUGAAUUGCUAGCCCCCAAUGUGACUCUAUGUGGAGAUAGGGCUUAUCAGGAGAUAGUAAAGAUUCAGUGAGGUUAUAAGGUGGGGCUCUAAUCCAGUAGGACUGGAGUCCUUAGAAGAGAUGGGAAAGAGAUAGGGGAGACCUCCCUCUGCACAAGUACACCAGCAAGAAGGUUACCAUCUGCAAGACAGGGAGAGAGGCCUCAUCAGACAGAAUCCUGUCGGCACCUUAACCUCAGACUUCCAGCCUCCAGAACUGUGAGAAAAUAAGUGUAUUGUUUAAG
rnacentral:lncRNA from 1 species